UACGUAGGUGGCAAGCAUUAUCCGGAUUUACUGGGCGUAAAGGGUGCGUAGGCGGAUUUUUAAGUGAGAUGUGAAAUACCCGGGCUCAACCUGGGGGCUGCAUUUCAAACUGGAAAUCUAGAGUGCAGGAGAGGAAAGUGGAAUUCCUAGUGUAGCGGUGAAAUGCGUAGAGAUUAGGAAGAACACCAGUGGCGAAGGCGGCCUGCUGGGCAGUAGCUGACGCUGAGGCGCGACAGCGUGGGGAGCAAACAGG
rnacentral:rRNA from 1 species